GGCGCAUCUUGAUGACGUAAGCACGCGCCAGGCCAGGCCGCCUACCACAGCAGGUGGACAGGUCUUAAGCCGCGGCUUCUCUGAGGGGUAGACAGCUGGGCAUGGGCCUCCCGAGGCUUCGCCAUGAGCUUCCUGAUCGACUCCAGCAUCAUGAUCACCUCCCAGAUACUGUUUUUUGGAUUCGGAUGGCUUUUCUUCAUGCGCCAGUUGUUUAAGGACUAUGAGGUGCGUCAGUAUGUGGUGCAGGUGAUCUUCUCCGUGACCUUUGCAUUUUCAUGCACCAUGUUUGAGCUUAUCAUCUUUGAGAUCUUGGGAGUUCUGAACAGCAGCUCCCGUUACUUCCAUUGGAAACUGAACCUGUGUGUGAUUCUGCUCAUCCUGGUUUUCAUGGUGCCCUUCUACAUUGGUUACUUUAUCGUGAGUAACAUCCAGCUGUUGCACAAACAGCGCCUGCUCUUUUCCUGUCUCUUAUGGCUGACCUUUAUGUACUUCUUCUGGAAGCUGGGAGACCCAUUCCCCAUACUCAGCCCAAAGCACGGGAUCUUGUCCAUAGAGCAGCUCAUCAGCCGGGUAGGCGUAAUCGGGGUGACGCUCAUGGCUCUGCUUUCCGGAUUUGGUGCUGUCAACUGUCCGUACACAUACAUGUCCUACUUCCUCAGGAACGUGACUGACACAGAUAUUCUUGCCCUGGAACGGCGACUGCUGCAGACCAUGGACAUGAUCAUAAGCAAAAAGAAAAGAAUGGCCGUGGCACGGAGAACCAUGUUCCAGAGAGGGGAUGUGCAGAACAAGCCGUCGGGACUCUGGGGCAUGCUGAAGAGCGUUACUGCCUCAGCCCCGGGAAGUGAAAAUCUGACUCUUAUCCAACAGGAAGUGGAUGCUUUGGAAGAACUGAGCAGGCAGCUUUUUCUGGAAACAGCUGAUCUGUAUGCUACAAAGGUACAGAGUGAGGAGACAGCUCUGCUUUACCAACACGGUUGAAGAGAGAAUGAGACCUCAUGGGCUGGCAGUCCUCUGCGAGCAGGCAGUGCUUCUGUGAAAGAAUUGAAUACUCGAAAACAUUCAAGGGAAAGUAUUUUAAUUUCCUGGGUUAUUUUUUCUCUAUUUACUGUGUCUGGAAAAUUUUUAUGGCUACCAUCAAUAUUGUUCUUGAUCGAGUUGGGAAAACUGACCCUGUCACCAGAGGCAUCGAGAUCACUGUGAAUUAUCUGGGAAUCCAGUUUGACGUGAAGUUCUGGUCUCAGCACAUCUCCUUCAUUCUGGUUGGAAUAAUCAUUGUCACAUCCAUCAGAGGACUGCUGAUCACACUCACCAAGUUCUUUUAUGCCAUCUCCAGCAGCAAGUCCUCCAACGUCAUCGUCCUGCUGUUAGCGCAGAUAAUGGGUAUGUACUUCGUGUCCUCUGUACUGCUGAUCCGAAUGAGCAUGCCCCCGGAGUACCGCACCAUAAUCACAGAGGUCCUCGGGGAGCUUCAGUUCAACUUCUAUCACCGUUGGUUUGAUGUCAUCUUCCUGGUCAGUGCCCUCUCCAGCAUAUUGUUCCUCUAUCUGGCUCACAAACAGGCACCAGAGAAGCAUAUGGCCCCCUGAACUCAGACUCCCUGCCAACUUCAGGAAAGGAGACACAGUGGGGAGACCAGAGCCUACAGCUCUUUACACAGGCAGAGCUGCGAGUUCUGUUCUGCCUCAGGCACACGCCUACUUCCUCCUGAGAUACUGGAGUCACUUCGACUGAGGCACAAGAAGAAAACCCGCAGCAUUCAGCAGGGAGCCGCAUGGAUCUGAGGCUGUGCAGUGAGGAGGAGAGGGCCAGAGCAUGAGGAUACCCCGGAAAUCCUGACUACACGGCUUCCCUCGAAAAUGCUAGUAAAGUCAGUUUGUAACACUCUGGCCUUGGGGUCACUUGUCCAGCACAGCUUGGUGUUAUGCUAUUGUGGUCUGACGUGAAAUGCAUCUCUCCCCUCACCCAACUUUACCCCGUAAAAAUAACCAAAAGGUUGUUUCUUCUUUUCUGAGAAAGGGGUGAUAGGCAACAGAUAGAUUUUACCAAAUAGAUUUUAGGUAUACCAAUCUUUAUUUCCUCUUAAAUUAGAGAAGAGUGAAUGUUCCGUGCUAAUCCAGCAGUGGCUGGCUCGGGUUGGCUUUCCCUCUGCCUCAGCGCUGGAGGUAGACGUUAACUGGAACAAGCCCUUUCCUGUUCUGAAACAUAAGCCCUCCGACAGUAAAAGGAAGGUGUUGAGGUUUUUUUUUAAUACUCAAAUGUAACAUAAGAAAAUGCUGAAGUAUAUUUCCUGGAAGCCUCCCUUUAUUACUAAGACCACAGUGUGUAUUUUGCAUGUUUUGGGCUUCUGGAAGCAAAUGAGAAAGCAUGAAAUGUUUGUAUGGAACAAAGACACUAUUCGGAUUCUAUUAGCCAACAGGGAAGUUGCAAACAACUCAGAAGCACUUAGCAAUGCUGCUCAGCCACAGCAUUGCUACAAAAGCACACUUCUAUAACAGGCAUCUGCUUGAUUCUUUAAUUAGCAGCGCUCACAUGGACAGUGAAUCAUCCCAGGUGCUCAAGCCUGCAGAAGGAAGAGGUCUCAUCAACAGAAGUGAAAAGUUGCACUUUGGAAGAUACCACAUAGAAAGACCCUGAACCUGGUCCCUCCUCUGGCUAAGUUGAGCUUAAAUAAGCAACCUGCAGUAGCAGCCCUUACAACAACAGACAGUCUGGGGGACAGAUGGUCCAGAGGAGGUCUGACGGGGUCGGCAGGGCUCAUUCCUCGGAGAGGCAGUUCCUGGGCCCUCAAGAGGAAGCAUCAUUUGUUCUCUUCACAUCUCCGUGUCUUCAGAGUUAGACGAAGAGUGCGAGGCUGUGCUGAGAGUCUGUGCAAAGGAAAAAGACAAGGGUUUACUGCAGCAGGAAAGAGCAAGGCUGAUCUAGAGCUGGCAUGCCUUAAGUCAGAGAGCCAGGCACCUCUAGAUGUAAUCCGAAUCUUCACUUGACUUGCUUCCAGAUUACUGUUUAACACAAACAAGUUUCUCAUUGUCUGUGUAUAUACCAACAUACACAUAGACCAUCAGUUUUCUAUAAGGCCAGAUUAGUACUAUAAUUGGCAUGACCUAUCAGCAGUAUUAAAUACAGUAGAAAACUAUAGUGACUUUUCAUAGGAGGCCUGAUUCCUAUAAAUCUCCUUCUAUGAAUUUGGAUGUCAGUUUACUUUUGAAACUCAAAUUUAUCCAUGAAGAGAAAAUUGACCAGAAAAAAAUUCUUCUGACAAAAAUAAUUGUAAUUCCUGACACUUACUAAACAUGGAGUCUAAGCCUCUCUCUCUGUUUUUACUUACUGUGAGCCAGGCACAGUUUAAACACUUCUGAAAACAACUGUACACAUUGUCCAUGUUUUAUAAGUCGGAAAUCUGGAGCACAGAGCCAGGAACUGGUCCUGCGUAAUCAGGUCAGGUUCUUCGGUGGUCUCCAUGAUUUUGAUAAACUGAUUUCACUUACUAACUGCCAACUGCAUGCUAAAAAAAUAAUGACACACCACAAGCCUGGCACUCAGGAGGCUAAGACAAGAGGAUUGCAAGUUCUACACCAGCCUGGGCUCCACAGUGAGGCCACAUUUCUAAGAAGACAAUAAAUUUGUCCUCAUAAUGCCUCCUUUGUCACAAAACCCUGGCAGGUUGGCCACCCUGUGUCACUGGGAAGCAUAGGCAUGAGGCACUGGCUGGGGACUACCCCAGGGAAGCAGGGCCACCACUCACUCGGUCUUUUGCUGGGUGGGCGUCAUGCUCGGACUCCGCAGACGUCUCUCCUUUUUCAUCAGGGCCAGCCACCAGGGGCUCGGCCAUGGAGGAAACGAUGGGGAUUUUCUUAGCUUGGAAGUAGCUGUAGGCCAUCUUUCCACAGACCAACAGAGUGACGUGCUUCCCGCUGCUCUUGAUUCUCUCCACCACUCUGUCGUAGGGUUCCUCUUGCACGUUCUCCCCGUUCACUUCGAUGAUGACGUCCUCAUUCUCCAGCCCAGCCUUGUCAGCAGGGCCACCCUGCUGUACCUGUGAACAGAGGUUCUGAGUCGGUUCCAAGCAUGGAAGAAGGCGUGCCGGGCAGCUUCCCUCCUGAACAGCCUCAACACUUGUUAACUGCGCUCCUUUAUGGCCUAUACACCCUGAACUCCACUGGGCUCAGCCACACUGGCAAAGCACUGCACUGAACAUGUGCUGGGCUGAAGGCAUCACGCCCCCAUCUUAGGAUCCCAACUUGGAAGCUACAGGGUGGUCUCAUUGCUCUCCCCUACAGGGUUCAGGCACCGUGCACAUCCACAGCAGUGGGCAAGGAGCACUCUCAGAGGCGGACUUCCAAGUGUGACCACUGUUAGUGUCACGGAGACUUGUGGCUUGCACUGAAAAAAAAAUCCCAUCCUAAUUGGCUGUUUGCUGAGCUGUCAGAACUAGUCACCAUACCUCUUUGACAAAGGAGCCAGGCUGACCCCGAAUGGCAUUCAGGUGAAAGCCGUAGCUAUCGUCCUCUUUAAGCAGCCUGCAGAGCUUGGGCUUGUGACCCUCCGCGUCCUCUGUGGGCUCUGAGCCUGUGGCCUCCAGAGGAGCAGGGAUCGGAGCUGGGCCUUCCUUGACAGAACCAUUAGGCAGUUCUUGACUUUGGCAGUAAAGAAGUGGAGAGAA